rnacentral:rRNA from 1 species
GUGGCAGCAGCCGCGGUAAGACCAGCACCUCAAGUGGUCAGGAUGAUUAUUGGGCCUAAAGCAUCCGUAGCCGGCUCUGUUAGUUUUCGGUUAAAUCCAUAUGCUCAACAUAUGGGCCGCCGGGAAUACUACAAAGCUAGGGAGUGGGAGAGGUAGACGGUACUCCGUAGGAAGGGGUAAAAUCCUUUGAUCUAUGGAUGACCACCAGUGGCGAAGGCGGUCUACCAGAACACGUUCGACGGUGAGGGAUGAAAGCUGGGGGAGCAAACCGGAUUAGAUACCCGGGUAGUCCCAGCUGUAAACUAUGCAAACUCAGUGAUGCAUUGGCUUGUGGCCAGUGCAGUGCCGCAGAGAAGUCGUUAAGUUUGCCGCCUGGGAAGUACGUACGCAAGUAUGAAACUUAAAGGAAUUGGCGGGGGAGCACCACAAGGGGUGAAGCCUGCGGUUCAAUUGGAGUCAACGCCAGAAAUCUUACCCGGAGAGACAGCAGAAUGAAGGUCAAGUUGAAGCCUUUACCAGACAAGCUGAGAAGUGGUGCAUGGCCGUCGCCAGCUCGUGCCGUGAGGUGUCCUGUUAAGUCAGGUAACGAGCGAGAUCCUUGCCUCUAGUUGCCACCAUUACUCUCAGGAGUAGUGGGGCGAAUUAGCGGGACUGCCGUAGUUAAUACGGAGGAAGGAGAGGGCCACGGCAGGUCAGUAUGCCCUGAAACUCUGGGGCCACACGCGGGCUGCAAUGGUAGUGACAAUGUGUUCCGAAUCCGAGAGGAGGAGGUAAGCCUCAAACGGGACCACAGUUAUGACUGAGGGCUGCAACUCGCCCUCACGAAUAUGGAAUCCCUAGUAACUGCGUGUCAUUAUCGCGCGGUGAAUACGUCCCUGCU